CUCACUGGGCUUCUCUCUGCCAAACGAAGGCAGCAGAACUACGAGGGGUGAUGUGCAAACUUGCACUUGGACCAAAGGGGCCCCUCUCCUUUGCAGCCAGGGAAAGGGGUUCAGGUUGGCUUCUUAUCAGCCAAUUCUUAUUUUUUAGUAUAUUUUUAUUAGUUGUUGAUGAAUUUUUUAAAAUUUAUUUGUACAUGGUGCUGAGAAUCGAACCCAGGGCGUCACACAUGCUAGGCAAGCGCUCUACCACUGAGCCACCACCCCAGCCCAUUUUUCAGCCAUUUCUAACGUGAAGAUUCUCAAGAAUUAUUCAACAAAAAGCAGUCAAAUGCAAGAAAAAAAAAAUCCCCUGCUUUGAGAUCAGAGAUGAAAAUGAGAACAAGAUAUUGUCUUUGUACUGCUAAAUUAGCAUAAAAUUUAAACUGGUUCCACCAAGUGCUGGUGAGACCGUAAGAAACCGGUAGGUUCAGCAGUGGCUGGUCGGGGUAAUUUUAUAAUAUAGCUAUAUACGUGUCGAUAUGUGGGAUCAUUAACAACGUUGCUGUUCAUUGAUCCAGCCAUCUCAUUCCUGGGAAAUUAUCCAAAGGAAAUUGCUCAAAAGAAAGAAAAAGCUGUAUAUAUGAGGGCCUUCCCUGCAGCCAAGAUGACCCCUCUCCCGGCAAAUCCCCAGAACAAACGUAGCCAGAAGCCUGGUUUUUGGAUGGUCAGAAAGUUAAGAAAUUUUUUAAAAGAUCAUUAAAAUAAACAAAAGCAUGUGAAUUGUGUCAAUUCCUCCCCCCCCGACCCCCCCACCCCCAGCAAGAGGAAACUCAAUGAAGAGCAUAAAACAACACGGGGCUAUGUUACAAUCCACUGAGUUUUGCAGAACACAGCGGUGAGCAGUCACUGUGAUCUCAACCAUGGAAAACUAUGUCUUAGGCCCACUGACAGGAAGAGAAGGCAAAAAUGAAACUGUUGUUUGGGAUUGAUUUGAAAUGAUUUAUUUUCUUUAAAAGAACUUUUUCUUGGGCUGGGGAUAGUAUAGUUCAGUGGCAUGCACGAGGCCCUCAGUUUUAUCCCCAGCACUUCAAAGAAAAAAACAAAAACCAGAAUUCCUUCUUUUUCACAAAUAGCCCAGAUGCUCAUGGGCGGGGAGUUUAUGAUAUAAAUGUGGUCUUCUCUGGAUGGAAUACUAUGCAGCC
rnacentral:lncRNA from 1 species